CCCGCCUCGGCCUCCCAAAGUGCUGGGAUCAUAGGCGUGAGCCACCGUGCCCGGCCGACAUCACAUUUUACUUCUGUCCAUCAGCUCCUCAGUUUAGGAAAAUCUUAUCUUCCUAACAAAUAGAAAACUCUUGUAGCUCAAAUAAGAGGAAAAGAUGAGGCCUAAUGUUUAAAGUCCUGAUGGAUUCAAAGCCCUGAUGGAGUCUCUCCACUCCUCAUACCUGAAGUCUGAAUAUUUGUCAUCUCAGAUUAUCUACAACUAAGGAGGGAACCUGACUUUUUCUUUGUCCCAGAGUGGGCAGGUUAUUCUCCCUCCCGGUACAAACCACCUUGAGGAAAAGAUACAACUUAUUGGCAUAAAUGGCUGGGAUUGUUCUGAGGUUGUUCAUAGGUUCAAAGAAAUUGCUGCAGGGACUAGAACAAGGCCUCACACCACCAAGAUUUUCCUCACUUCUUCAAGCAGCCUUCUGCCUACCUGUCCCGCAUGGCGUCAUUCCUCAGAAGGCUUCUCCAGGCUCCUGAGGGAUUAGGAUCAUGUAGAUCAAGUCCUGUG
rnacentral:lncRNA from 1 species